rnacentral:pre_miRNA from 1 species
UAACUACUCCCUCCGUUCGAAAUUACUUGUCUCGAAAAUGGAUGUAUCUAGAACUAAAAUACGUCUAGAUACAUCCAUUUUCGCGACAAGUAAUUCUGAACGGAGGGAGUAAUUA